AACUAUUCCAUUUUUCCAUGCAGCCUUAUUAGUUUUUCACUCCCUGUCCCCAUGAAGACCCCAUUCAAAGCCUGGCACAUUUUGAGAAAUAAAUGAAUUUGUGAUAUAGAGCCUACAGAGCAAGGCCUUCAUUCCUCCCUAGUAGUGCCAUAAAGGAUGACAGGUCUAUUAAUGCCAUCAAGCAAUCAGAGGGAUGUUACUGGAGAACAGAAUUAAAAGUGAAAAAAGUCCCAAAAAUCUCACACCCAGAGCAGCAUGGAGUAAAGGCAGAUGGAUUUGGACAGUUUAUUUGCUUUUUAAAAUGAGCAAAAAGGCACAUACAGUAUUAGUCAAUUACAGAAAAUGGUUACUGCUAAUUAAUGUACCCAAAUAAGGCUAAAAAGGUAAUACUGGCAUUUAACACAGUAACAUAGUUACUUUACUAUCUUAUUUGGAUAUGGUUUGCAUUAAGUCUUGAAAAUUGACAGAUUGCAACUUCAAUCAUGCAACCAAAGCAUUUCACACAUAAUUUCACUGAAUCAAAACAAAACAAAUUAGGGUACUCAAACCAAACUAAAACCACCAAACUAGUAAAGCUUGGAGAAAGAGAGUCAUGGCUUAUAUUAAAUACAUCACUACUUAUAGGUAGCUCAAUAGUACAAGAAAAAAAAAACUGAGUUAUGUAUAAUCUUGACCUAUUUCAUACAAUUUAUGCAAAAAAUAAAGCUCAUCAUUAAUGAAAUAGUUAACUGUACCUAAAACAUCCCUGCAUAUUUAAGAGGUAUUUUUAAUUGAAGGUGAAGAAACUUGGGUGGAAUACAGUGUUAUAAACUGAGUAUGUCAUAAGAAAAGUAUGUUUCCAAAUGGGAGCAAAGAAGAUUCUGGUGCAGAGUGCAGGCAGCAGUCACUUUGCAAACCCCACACUGCUCACUAAACACAACACCCCAAAGCUUAGCAGACAUUGCCUGAAAUGGCUACAGCAGCCAAGGAAAAGGAGUGCUACACAUUUCCUACACAUACAGUGUAUCUGUAGAACACUUCUUUAUAAAGCACACACAGGCUCUAAAGCCAGCCCUUUUCCAGUGUAACACAAACAGCGAGAGUUGACAGGAGUUAUUUGCACUGCAACAGCUCACAGGAGUUCAAAACACAUGGUUUGGGACACUUGGUGAAAAACACAGGAUUGGAGAAAAGCUACCUCAGCUUCCUGAGCCUAAGAAUAAGGUAAGAACAACACAGUGCAAAGGCACCUUGCCAAGUCUACUGUUCAAUACAUCUUUGAUUAGCAAAGCACUUUUAUAUCUACAAUGUAUAGACAACUAUAUUUCUUUUAAAAAUUAAGAUGUUCCACUGUCAGUAGUCAUCUCUGAGGAAACAUCUCUCUGCAUUUUUAUAUUUGUGUAUUAAGAAAUCUAUAAGUGCAUCUGAAUAAGCACACCUGUUCAGAAAAACAGUAAUAUCAAAUACAAUUUAAUGUUAUUCCUUUCCCUCUUUUACAGAGUUUCAACUCUUAAUAUCCACAUUCCAAAAGAGCUGCCUUUCUUUUCUCCUUUGGGAAUUGUGCAUUCCUGCUCUGGACACCAGCAGUGGAUCCUUCCAUGGCUUCCCCUUCCUAAGGAAAGCACUUUCUUGGUCUCUUCAUCUGCCUCUUUCCUUUCCUGGGAAUCCUACCUCUUCCCAGUGCAAAAGAAUUAAGUGGAAAGACAUAUUCCAGACAUAAAUAUUAAAUUUUUUCCCAUCUUCAGCAACCAUGUUUUAGAAAAAAAAAUAUAUAUAAAAAAAUAUAUAUAUAUAUAUAUAUAUAUAUAUAUAUAUAUAUAUAUAUUUAAAAAAACCCAAACAUGCAUGCACACAUACAUUUCUCUAUUGCACAAAAACAGAGCCUCCCAUCCUGGUUAAAGACUGAGAAAAGUGGCAGACAAGUU
rnacentral:lncRNA from 1 species